UGGAGUUACAGAUGGUUGUGAGCCAUCAUG
rnacentral:piRNA from 1 species